UUACGCCAAGCUAUUUAGGUGACACUAUAGAAUACUCAAGCUAUGCAUCCAACGCGUUGGGAGCUCUCCCAUAUGGUCGACCUGCAGGCGGCCGCACUAGUGAUUGUAGUCAUAUGCUUGUCUCAAAGAUUAAGCCAUGCAUGUCUAAGUAUAAGCAAUUAUACCGUGAAACUGCGAAUGGCUCAUUAAAUCAGUUAUCGUUUAUUUGAUAGUACCUUACUACUUGGAUAACCGUGGUAAUUCUAGAGCUAAUACAUGCUGAAAACCCCAACUUCGGGAGGGGUGUAUUUAUUAGAUUAAAAACCAAUGCCCUUCGGGGCUCACUGGUGAUUCAUGAUAACUCCUCGAAUCGCAUGGCCUUGUGCCGGCGAUGGUUCAUUCAAAUUUCUUCCCUAUCAACUUUCGAUGUUUGGGUAUUGGCCAAACAUGGUUGCAACGGGUAACGGAGGGUUAGGGCUCGACCCCGGAGAAGGAGCCUGAGAAACGGCUACUACAUCCAAGGAAGGCAGCAGGCGCGCAAAUUAUCCAAUCCCGACACGGGGAGGUAGUGACAAUAAAUACUGAUACAGGGCUCUUUU
rnacentral:rRNA from 1 species